rnacentral:rRNA from 2 species
GCCUAUACAUGCAGUCGAACGAACUCUGGUAUUGAUUGGUGCUUGCAUCAUGAUUUACAUUUGAGUGAGUGGCGAACUGGUGAGUAACACGUGGGAAACCUGCCCAGAAGCGGGGGAUAACACCUGGAAACAGAUGCUAAUACCGCAUAACAACUUGGACCGCAUGGUCCGAGCUUGAAAGAUGGCUUCGGCUAUCACUUUUGGAUGGUCCCGCGGCGUAUUAGCUAGAUGGUGAGGUAACGGCUCACCAUGGCAAUGAUACGUAGCCGACCUGAGAGGGUAAUCGGCCACAUUGGGACUGAGACACGGCCCAAACUCCUACGGGAGGCAGCAGUAGGGAAUCUUCCACAAUGGACGAAAGUCUGAUGGAGCAACGCCGCGUGAGUGAAGAAGGGUUUCGGCUCGUAAAACUCUGUUGUUAAAGAAGAACAUAUCUGAGAGUAACUGUUCAGGUAUUGACGGUAUUUAACCAGAAAGCCACGGCUAACUACGUGCCAGCAGCCGCGGUAAUACGUAGGUGGCAAGCGUUGUCCGGAUUUAUUGGGCGUAAAGCGAGCGCAGGCGGUUUUUUAAGUCUGAUGUGAAAGCCUUCGGCUCAACCGAAGAAGUGCAUCGGAAACUGGGAAACUUGAGUGCAGAAGAGGACAGUGGAACUCCAUGUGUAGCGGUGAAAUGCGUAGAUAUAUGGAAGAACACCAGUGGCGAAGGCGGCUGUCUGGUCUGUAACUGACGCUGAGGCUCGAAAGUAUGGGUAGCAAACAGGAUUAGAUACCCUGGUAGUCCAUACCGUAAACGAUGAAUGCUAAGUGUUGGAGGGUUUCCGCCCUUCAGUGCUGCAGCUAACGCAUUAAGCAUUCCGCCUGGGGGAGUACGGCCGCAAGGCUGAAACUCAAAGGAAUUGACGGGGGCCCGCACAAGCGGUGGAGCAUGUGGUUUAAUUCGAAGCUACGCGAAGAACCUUACCAGGUCUUGACAUACUAUGCAAAUCUAAGAGAUUAGACGUUCCCUUCGGGGACUUGGAUACAGGUGGGUGCAUGGUUGUCGUCAGCUCGUGUCGUGAAAAUGUUGGGGUUAAGUCCCGCAACGAGCGCAACCCUUAUUAUCAGUUGCCAGCAUUAAGUUGGGCACUCUGGUGAGACUGCCGGUGACAACCCGAGGAAAGGGGGGGGGAGGAAGUCCAAAUCAUCCAUGGCCCCUUAUGAACCUGGGGGACCCACCGGCUUCAAAAGGAAGGGG